rnacentral:rRNA from 1 species
AUUGCCUUCGCCAUCGGUGUUCCUCCGCAUAUCUACGCAUUUCACUGCUACACGCGGAAUUCCAUCCCCCUCUGCCGCACUCUAGCCUUGCAGUCACAAUGGCAGUUCCCAGGUUGAGCCCGGGGAUUUCACCACUGUCUUACAAAACCGCCUGCGCACGCUUUACGCCCAGUAAUUCCGAUUAACGCUUGCACCCUACGUAUUACCGCGGCUGCUGGCACGUAGUUAGCCGGUGCUUAUUCUUACGGUACCGUCAUGACCCGGGGAUAUUAGCCCCAGGCUUUUCGUUCCGUACAAAAGCAGUUUACAACCCGAGGGCCUUCAUCCUGCACGCGGCAUUGCUGGAUCAGGCUUUCGCCCAUUGUCCAAAAUUCCCCACUGCUGCCUCCCGUAGGAGUCUGGGCCGUGUCUCAGUCCCAGUGUGGCUGGUCGUCCUCUCAGACCAGCUACAGAUCGCAGGCUUGGUAAGCCUUUACCCCACCAACUACCUAAUCUGCCAUCAGCCGCUCUAGUAGCACAAGGCCCGAAGGUCCCCUGCUUUCAUCCGUAGAUCUCAUGCGGUAUUAGCUACUCUUUCGAGUAGUUAUCCCCCACUACUAGGCACGUUCCGAUGUAUUACUCACCCGUUCGCCACUCGUCAGCAUCCGAAGACCUGUUACCGUUCGACUUGCAUGUGUAAAGCAUGCCGCCAGCGUUCAAU